AGCCGAGAGGGAGAGUUUCCACACCGUGGUGGAUUUAGCACGGAGGAUGGAGGCUAGUGCCAUUAUACAGGGUACAGUGAAACAGCAGCCGGCACAGUCUUCAGGUUCUAAGACCCCAGGUAGGGGUAAGUCAAAUCCCUCUUCACAGGGUGCAGCAACUUCCAGUGGUAAGAAGUGGAGUGGUUCCACGCAGAAGUCGAGGAAGAAUAAGUUCUGGAAUAAGAUUAAAGCAG
rnacentral:lncRNA from 1 species